rnacentral:sRNA from 1 species
CAGGUAGGAUUAGACCUCAAGGUCAGGUUGCCCUCAUGUCUAACCAUAAACAUAGACAAACGAAUGUAACUGUCCAUUGACUUAUCCAUGUACUGACCUAUGUCUCAUCCAAGUGUUCAUUUAUGUGAUCGUUUACAAGGCUUUCUGUUGGGGUAGCCUUUUUGAAGAAACUGCAUAUUUGGAAGGCAAAUGCCCCUGCUAUUCUAGAAUCUGCAGUUUAUUACGGGAGAUAGGCUGACUACAUCACAGCACUACAUGCCUUUAUGUGUGGAGGAGGGUGCUAUGUGGGAGCCCCUCUUUAGACUAGCACAGAGCUUUGAGGGAUGAGGCAAAUGCCUGUAGUUCAUUUGCUUUACAGGGAUCUUGUGAGAUUCCAGGAAGUAAGUAGUUUGCAAGGAGGAGAGCCUGGUGGAAAUGCCAAAUAAAUGGUUCUCAUUGUAAUCUUUUGGUGCCUUUUGUUCUUUCUAUCCCCUUUUCCCUAUAUAUGAAGAUGGUCUCUUCAUGCUUCAUACAUCUUGGGUACCUGACAGAACCUGAGUAGCAGCAUGUCAGUCCUAUUUUGUUUAAGUGCUGCUGGACAUUUCAUAUCUGCAUCUUAUACUCUGAAGUUGGUUAGAAGAGCAGGGAUGUGGAAAGGGUUUCAAAAGGUGAGGAUAGGCAUGAGAGAUUUGAGACUUCAAGAACAAAGUUCUCCAUAUAUACCCCACAUUCUGACCAAGAAGAGUGCUAUCUAGGCCUUUUUAUUCCUCUAGGGAAAAUUAGCUGAGUUAGUGAUUCUCUCUUAAAAUACCUGCUUUGAAUAAUCUAUAUUAUGAUCUUCCUCCAGCAUGAUGGAAUCUUCAUUGUUUUCUGCCGACUUAUGGUUUUUCGUGUGUGUGUGUGUGUGUGUGUGUGUGUGUGUGUGUGUGUGUGUGUAUGCAUUGCUGUGGUGACCUGUAAUUUGUGGGUAUUCAGGGAGGCCAGUUAAUGACAUACAAUUUUGUCCAGUCAUUCUCUAACUUAGUCCUUUGAGCCUAGGUCUCUCAACAAACCUAAAUCUUCCUGUUUUGUGCUGGUCAGCAGUCUUUGCAUCACCUGUCCAGUUCCAGGUGUUGCCACCUCUGUUAUUUGUCUCAACACAUUCUGAAUAGCUAAACCAUUCAGCUAUUUUAAAAGUAAGGAUUAGAUUUUGUCACUUUACCUUAAUAGAGGUAUCCCCCUGGAAGAUUCUGGUCUGUCUUAUUGCCUUAACCAUGAUCGUGCAUGGAAUCCUAUAGUGCAUCCCUCUGCUGACAUUGCUUUGCUGACUAUAUCAUGGGCAUGGCAUUCUUCAGGAUACAUUCCCUCUCAGUGUUGUACAGGGUGCAGCAUUUCAGCAAAGUCACUGUAGCCUUUUCUUUUGCCUCCUUCUGACUGAUGUUGAGGUUGUUUUAAUAUCACAUGAAUUAUAAUGUGAUGAAAAGUUCCUGGGUACUGACCAUGAGUCACUGUCUUCUUCUGAUGCUUCCAAGGUCUUCUAUGAGGGAAGCAGGGUAGUUUUAGUGAGGGGCCUAUGAUGAGUCAACAUGGAGCUUGCUGGAGGCUUUUCUUCUGUCUUGGGAAUUUGGUGAUGUGUUGUUUAGUUUAUCUGUGCAGAGUUUGUAACUUACUUGUAGGUCCAGCAAGUAUCUGCAUAGCAAGAUUUCCUGAAGUGGAAAUGAGUACAGGCCAGGGCAGCACAGCCUGCUUGACUGUAAGAGACUUGUACAUAACAUAGCUCCCACUAAUUCUUCAUUCAACAGAAAACCUGCUGGAUAAAAGCCUUGGGCACGAAGUCAUUCAAGUUAAGGUAAAGAGAGCUGCUAUUAGAAGAAGCUGCACACUUUGGGGGCAAGCCUGAAACAGUGGCCAAGAACAGAGUCUAAUCCACCACCAACAUAUGAUCCUUUGCUGGGAAACAAGCCUGCUCUACACAGCCUUGGGAACGAGCUAAGCCAGAUUGGGGAAUAAGGCAAGGACCAUGAUUCUAUGUUGGUUUAUGGGAGGACAGCACAACACUGACUGAGUUGUUUAUAGGCUAUAGGCUAUGCCUGCUAUGUACAUAUCCCACUCAACAUUUGUUUUUAUGCCUUCAGAGAAUCCUGGGGGGUCUUUAUAUUAAGGAUUACCUCAGAAAGUAAACACUUGACUGCAAUGUACUAUGCUUAUAUUGUGUGAACACACAUGUGUUCUGUGUUUGGGAGUGUGUAUUAGUGUUUCUGUGUGUCUGUGUGUGUUUGUAUGUGCACACAGGUAUGCAUGCCUCCACUGACAUUACACUCAUCUAAUGACCAGAAUAAGGAAGGAUUAGAGGAAACAAUGCAGGACACUCUGAAGCAGAGAGAACUGAUCACCCAGGAAAGUGACUUGGGAGAAACAGUGUAGAAGAAUUGUGACAUCUUUGAGAUCAGUACUGUGCAUAGUCCACAGUUCGAUUUCUAGCUGUUUUUAAAAGCUGAUAUAUAAAUCGAAGCCCAUUUACUCUAUGACACUUGGGGAUGCAGGAAAUGACCUCAGUUGACAGGUAAUGCUGGAUUGUCCAACCGAAUAGAGCUGACGUAAGAGGGAGAGCUGAAUCAACAAACCCUCACUAAUCCUUUUUUCCCUUGCUCUGCUAGGUCUAAAAUUCUCCAGCGAAACUCGAACAUGGCAUAGACCAGAACAAGAUCUCCCUUGGAGAGCAGUGCCACAGGAGGAGUCUAAGUGUGCACAACAAAUACACCACUAUUACAUCGCAUCCUUAAUAUCCAUAGCAGUUGUGGGCUGCAUUUUCCUACUUUAGUUUGAUUUCUUUGGAUUGAAUAGGCCAUACUUUCAUCUCGGCUCUCCCGAGCAAGCGUGCACAUUUGAAGAAGCGUGCACAGAGAAGAGCUGAUGCACAUCAAUCGAGAACUGCUGAGCAUCCAGGAAGAGUGUGCACAUGUACAUUUGUACUUGUCCUGAAGGGUCACCCAGAAGAGUUUCAUGGAGAUCAGUCCACAACAUUGGAAAAACUUUGAGUCAAAGACUGUCAUAUGUUUUAUACUCAGUAUUGGAUGGCUUUGUCCUUCAUACCCUCACUCCAACAAGGCAGACCUACUUACAUUCCCCUUGAAAAGAUUAUUACCAUCAGUAACUGCUUGUCUACUGUGUUUCCAAGGCAAGUCAUUGGCUAUAAGUCAAUUCUGCAAACGAGCAUCAAAAGAAUGCUUAGGACAAUUCCUCUGUUUACAUUUUGGUUUGACUUUUGAUUACUUUGGUUAUUUGGUUUUCCUUAUAUUCAUUUGAAGUUUUGUUAUUUAUUCAUUGUUGUUUUGUUCAUUCAUUUGAUUUGCUAUUUUGAUAAGGAUACAAACUGUAUAUAUUGACUACCUGCAUCUGGAUACUAUUGAUGUAUUCUGGUGAAUAAAAGAGUGAUCUCAAA